AGCAGCCGCGGUAAUUCCAGCUCCAAUAGCGUAUAUUAAAGUUGUUGCAGUUAAAAGCUCGUAGUUGAAUUUCGGGAUCAAAGGAUCGGUCAUGCCUUGGUAUGUACUGGUUUUAUUGGUUCUCACCUUCUAAAGAACCAUAAUGUCAUUCAUUUGAUGUUAUGGGGAAUUAGGACUGUUACCUUGAAAAAAUUAGAGUGUUUAAAGCAGGCUUACGCUUGAAUACAUUAGCAUGGAAUAAUGAAAUAGGACAUCAGAUUCUAUUUUGUUGGUUUCUAGGAUCGAUGUAAUGAUUAAUAGGGAUAGUUGGGGGCAUUAGUAUUCAAUUGUCAGAGGUGAAAUUCUUGGAUUUAUUGAAGACUAACUACUGCGAAAGCAUUUGCCAAGGAUGUUUUCAUUAAUCAAGAACGAAAGUUAGGGGAUCGAAGACGAUCAGAUACCGUCGUAGUCUUAACCAUAAACUAUGCCGACUAGGGAUCGGAUGAUGUUAAUUUUUUAAUGACUCAUUCGGCGCCUUACG
rnacentral:misc_RNA from 1 species